UUAUACAGAAAAUAAAAAGGACCUGGAAGACAAGUGUAAUGCAUUAAGAUCUGUGAAAACAACAAAGGAAGCAAAAGUCAAACAGCUGAAGGAGAAAGCAUAUAACCUGGAAGAAUCCUAUGAACAAAGAAAAGUGGCUGCAGAAGAGAAGCUGAAAAUAACACACUGUGAACUAAUGGCAAAGAAGAAUCAGCUGGCACCUGCAGACACACGAGGCAGAAACCAGUGCCUGGAAGACUAGAGAUGCAGAACCUCCAUGGAGAAGUAAGGAGCACCUGGUGACAAGCAGCAGCCUCAUUUCUGCUGCACAGCCUGUUCCUGUGGGUGAUAAUCGUGUGGCCUGGAAAGAACCACAAGCACUAGGGACAGCAGGGCCUUUAGCAGAUCCAGAAACUGGUGCGACCUCUGUGAGCACAGCAGCUCUGAUUGUACCAAGAAUGCAGACAAGGACAAGCUGCUUUUGGUGUUGGUAUUAUCUGGCAGAUGCACAUAGUUGUCACUUCUGCAGGGCAGUGUGGAUCUAUGGGGACCUCCUCCACUAACUGGAAGAUUUGUCUUCCAUGUUCCAUGCAUGCCCCACCUGCAACACUUGGACCUUUAGCAGAUCCAGAAGCAGGUGUCACUCCUGAGAGUGCCACGAAUACUGACUACUGAAACUGCUGAGAAGCACAAGACCGCUAAGUAUGCAAGAGGUCCUGGUCCUGUCCUUGCAGGCCCUGCCCCUGUGGAUCAGUCUUCAUUGCCAAUCAUGUGCUGUGGGCCCCUCUUCCUCCUCCUCCAUCUACUCUAUUUGUUAAGAUGACCUGAACUGGAUGAGUGGUAAAGCAUAUUCGCCUUCUUUGUGAAAGACUGGGUGGGAAUGAUGUAGAGACGGUUGUGAGUCUUGGCACUUCAAGUGACAACCUGCCUGAGGACACUGAACAUACCUUAAGUUUCUCAGGACGUACAUACAAGGGGCGGUGUCAUUUCCCUGUAUUAAGGUGAGCUAUAGGUUUCUCUGCUCAAAAUUAAAGAGGAAAUUUUACACAAAAGCAGACGUAUCAGCAGUACUGGUGGGUAUUUUGGAGACACAGUAUUUUGGGUUCUAUAAAGGAUGUGGUGCACCCCUAACUUUUAGUGCCUCAGGUGUCCUGUGUGACAUGAAGGAUACAUGCAUUAAAUGACACAGACCUUGUGAUCACCAUAAUGGAAGCACCAGUGAAGGAAUUGGGGAAACUUGAAUCACUCAGGAAUAGAAGGGACGUUGUGGACAGUAAGCAGAGUUUGAGGAGGUGCAGAGGGAAGGAGGUUGGGGUCAGUGAAAUGCAG